rnacentral:rRNA from 1 species
GAUGAACGCUGGCGGCGUGCCUAAUACAUGCAAGUAGAACGCUGAAGGAAGGAGCUUGCUCUUUCCGGAUGAGUUGCGAACGGGUGAGUAACGCGUAGGUAACCUGCCUGGUAGCGGGGGAUAACUAUUGGAAACGAUAGCUAAUACCGCAUAACAGUAGAUGUUGCAUGAUAUCUACUUAAAAGGUGCAAUUGCACCACUACCAGAUGGACCUGCGUUGUAUUAGCUAGUUGGUGAGGUAACGGCUCACCAAGGCGACGAUACAUAGCCGACCUGAGAGGGUGAUCGGCCACACUGGGACUGAGACACGGCCCAGACUCCUACGGGAGGCAGCAGUAGGGAAUCAUCGGCAAUGGACGGAAGUCUGACCGAGCAACGCCGCGUGAGUGAAGAAGGUUUUCGGAUCGUAAAGCUCUGUUGUAAGAGAAGAACGAGUGUGAGAGUGGAAAGUUCACACUGUGACGGUAUCUUACCAGAAAGGGACGGCUAACUACGUG